GACCCUGAUCCCAUCUAUCCCAGAGUAGACCCUGAGCCCAUCUCUCCCAGACCCUGAGCCCAUCUAUUACAGACCCUGAGCCCAUCUCUCCCAAACCCUGAGCCCAUCUAUUCCAAACCCUAUGUCCAUCUCUCCCAGACCCUGAGCCCAUCUAUUCCAGACCCUGAUCCCAUCUAUCCCAGAGUAGAACCUGAGGCCAUCUCUCCCAGACCCUGAGCCCAUCUAUUCCAGACCCUGAGCCCAUCUCUCCCAAACCCUGAGCCCAUCUAUUCCAAACCCUAUGUCCAUCUCUCCCA